UUGUGGAUGAUGAAGAAAAGUAUGCGUCUGUGUCACAA
rnacentral:sRNA from 1 species